GUUUGAUCCUGGCUCAGGACGAACGCUGGCGGCGUGCCUAAUACAUACAAGUCGAGCGAAUCUUGAGGAGCUUGCUCCUUAAGGUUAGCGGCGGACGGGUGAGUAACACGUGGGCAACCUGCCUGUAAGACUGGGAUAACACCGGGAAACCGGUGCUAAUACCGGAUAAUUCUUCACCUCGCGUGGGGUGAAGCUGAAAGUCGGUUUCGGCUGACACUUACAGAUGGGCCCGCGGCGCAUUAGUUAGUUGGUGAGGUAACGGCUCACCAAGGCAACGAUGCGUAGCCGACCUGAGAGGGUGAUCGGCCACACUGGGACUGAGACACGGCCCAGACUCCUACGGGAGGCAGCAGUAGGGAAUCUUCCGCAAUGGACGAAAGUCUGACGGAGCAACGCCGCGUGAGUGAUGAAGGCCUUCGGGUCGUAAAACUCUGUUGUUAGGGAAGAACAAGUACCGGAGUAACUGCCGGUACCUUGACGGUACCUAACCAGAAAGCCACGGCUAACUACGUGCCAGCAGCCGCGGUAAUACGUAGGUGGCAAGCGUUGUCCGGAAUUAUUGGGCGUAAAGCGCGCGCAGGCGGUCCUUU
rnacentral:rRNA from 1 species